AGUGAACGCUGGCGGUAGGCCUAACACAUGCAAGUCGAACGGCAGCACAGUAAGAGCUUGCUCUUACGGGUGGCGAGUGGCGGACGGGUGAGGAAUACAUCGGAAUCUACUUUUUCGUGGGUGAUAACGUAGGGAAACUUACGCUAAUACCGCAUACGACCUACGGGUGAAAGCAUGGGAUCUUCGGACCUUGCGCGAUUGAAUGAGCCGAUGUCGGAUUAGCUAGUUGGCGGGGUAAAGGCCCACCAAGGCGACGAUCCGUAGCUGGUCUGAGAGGAUGAUCAGCCACACUGGAACUGAGACACGGUCCAGACUCCUACGGGAGGCAGCAGUGGGGAAUAUUGGACAAUGGGCGCAAGCCUGAUCCAGCCAUACCGCGUGGGUGAAGAAGGCCUUCGGGUUGUAAAGCACUUUUGUUGGGAAAGAAAAGCAGCAGGUUAAUACCUCGCUGUUCUGACGGUACCCAAAGAAUAAGCACCGGCUAACUUCGUG
rnacentral:rRNA from 1 species